rnacentral:lncRNA from 1 species
CAGUUACUAUAAUACUAGAACAGAAACAGCAUUGUGUGUUUGUGUGUGCAGGUGAUUCUUCUUGUAGCGUUCGCUUGCGUUCGUUCCACGUGGUACACCAGUUUCUACGCUUACGGUUUUUUUGAAGGGGUCACGCUCGGUUACUCCAUCACGGUCGCCGUUUUUCUAUUCCUGACUGUAUUUGGGGUUCCGAAAAGGGCAUCAUUUGUAAACUGGACGAUAGCCGAGUUUGUGCUUGAUACACUGGGAUUCAUCUUCAUCUCCACUGGUUCCAUUGUAGCUGCUGUGAAGUCUUAUGACACCCCCAUUCUGGUUGCCGCCUCAGUGUGUGGUCUUCUGGCCUCAUAUCUCUCAGUUGUAAGUGUGAUACUUUCAUUUGUUGCCGCUCGCCGCUCACAACCUGAGGGUAAGUUAGGAGCUGAGCGUGUUUUCAGUGUGUAUUUUAACAUAUUUAGAUAAACUGCACAUAGCUGGAUCUGCAAAACAUUUUCAGGUGCUUUUGAAUCCUGAACUGAUUAUCUGAAAUAAUGUUUUUCUGUUCCAGAUCCACCAAUAUAAAAACAUUGUCUUGAUAUUUAUAGUCUAACUGCCCUCAACACAGGAGAGCAUGGAUGGGGAAUUGAUAAAGGGUAUGGUUGUUUUAGUAAAUUUACAUAGAAUAGAAUAUCACUUAUUGCACACAUGACUUAUUGCAGCCAGAUGGUUUUAAUACUAUAAUUACUAUAUAAUAUUUAAUAUUAUAAUACCCUGCCAAUAAUUUACUGGUGCAUACAUUCUAACAAAUGGUCUUUAUUUUCAAUUUACUCUUAUAAUAGUGUCAACAUUGUUUUGUUAAUCAUUUGUUUACAAAAUGUAUUAUUACGACAAAUA